AACGAACGCUGGCGGCGUGGAUAAGACAUGCAAGUCGAGCGGGAACUUUUUUGGUAGCAAUACCGAAAAGUUCUGGCGGCGAACGGGUGCGUAACACGUGGACAAUCUGCCUUAAAGUGGGGGAUAGCUCGGCGAAAGCCGAAUUAAUACCGCAUGUGAUGAGAGACGACAUCGUCUUGAAAUCAAAGCCGGGGCAACCGUGGCGUCUUUUUGAGGAGUCCGCGGCCUAUCAG
rnacentral:rRNA from 1 species